UACGAAGGGGGCUAGCGUUGUUCGGAAUUACUGGGCGUAAAGCGCACGUAGGCGGAUCGUUAAGUCAGGGGUGAAAUCCUGGGGCUCAACCCCAGAACUGCCUUUGAUACUGGCGAUCUCGAGUCCGGAAGAGGUGAGUGGAACUCCUAGUGUAGAGGUGGAAUUCGUAGAUAUUAGGAAGAACACCAGUGGCGAAGGCGGCUCACUGGGCCGGUACUGACGCUGAGGUGCGAAAGCGUGGGGAGCAAACAGG
rnacentral:rRNA from 1 species